GGUAUCACACCGGUAAUUGUCCAAUCAAAAUGAACUUAGUCAAUUGUAGUUCCAUAUAUUUAAAGAAAUAUUUUUUUUCCUUGCGCGAUUUUUCUCAUUUCCUCUUCUUCUUUUCUCUUAAUUUUUGUACCCCUGAUUAGGAAAUUUUGUGUAAUUUGUAGAAAUAAUCAAGUGUAUACAAAGGAACUAUUUGCUGUUGGUAGCUGAGGCUACUUCCUGAGGUGCACUCCGGCUGUUUACACACAUGUGAAAAACACGUGGAUUUGAGGGUAGUCUUGUUUGCGGGUAAUUUUUUUUCGAAAAUGCCGCGUAGGGUGUUGUUUUUCUGGUGUCGGCAGACGAGAUAGGUAACACAGAACGUGUCUGACUGCGUUAUUCGGCAUCAAUUUUGUAAACUGAUUUUUAAUGAUUUUUUCCUCUCUAUAGUAAUAUAUAGUGAAAAUAAUUACCGGUGUGAUACCUUAUCUAAGCGAUCGUAGAUCGUAAACGUACGAUUACGUUUAAGGUAGCGACGGAUAGCAACCACGUGAUCAGUAAAAAUUGUGUAUUUUCACGUGAAUUCAUUUUCCGGAAUUCCUUACUCCGUCAUAGAAUAGUCGAAAAACAAAAAGGGGUUCCGAAAGUGUUUUGUUGCUGUGACUGACUGACUCGCCUACAGAAAAUAUGCACAUACCACAUAAGUAUACGUCAAUGUCUGUAAUAAUGGUAGAUCAAAUGUUUCAUCUGUGUGAAACUUAUUGCUAAUCGAAAUGUUAAACCCACCACCAAUCCAUGUACAUAGAUGCGCUACGUAAACAAAGUUGUUGAUUGAUGCAUCGUAAUGUCCGAGUACGCGAGUGCUGCAUGCUGAGAGAUUAAAUACUGUUUAUACAGUCAUUGAGAGGCUAAACAAAGUUUCUUGCAAGAAGAGGAAGUUGGUGGAUGCAUUGAACUUGGACAACGAAAUCAUAGUUUCGUUUGGCAUCAGCCUGAAGACCGAGGGAGGUUAGAUAGGACCAGUGCAGGUUGAAGUGGAUUUCGAGUCAACAAGUAUAACAGCAAGAGAGGUACUCCAUUUACAGUGAUGAUGACAUAUCUCCUGGACCCCCACAACUCCACAAAUUUAAAAAUGUUUGAUCAAGUUCCGAAGAUUAAAGAACUACUGCAAAAUUUGGGACUGGAUGAAAAACAUUAAUUCACUUAUAUGAGCUCAGAGCAGUGGAUGUUAUACAACAUACUUUAAACUAAAUUGUGAAUUUAAGGGAAAACAAGUACAUGUACUCGUAUAUUACAAGUACAUGCCUUUUGAAAGACAAUAAUAUUGCAUAGAUGUAAAGGAAAUUUCAAUGUUGAUUAUUCUUUCUUAGAUAUAUUAGUAAAAAAUGUGCACAUGAUAGAAUAUCAAUUUUAUAACUUCAAUCAAUGUGUUUGAAUUUUCCUUGUAAUUCAAAAUUUAGUUGAAACAUACAUCAUAGAUACAUUAAUGUAUAUCAAAUUUUUAGAAAAGUUUCAUAAUGGAACUAAUUCACCCCCCACCCCCCCCCCCACCCCCCCACCCCCUUAUACAUACAGUGAACAUAGACCUUCACCUGGGGAAAACUUCAGUUAGUUAAUGAAAUAUACAUGUACAUGCAUUCUCAGUUAUCCAAUAGUGAGUUUUUGGUUCCAUGUGAAACUACAAUUAGAAAUCUUAAACUUAUGAAAGACACACCUAUCUGUGAGGGUAAUAUGACUCAGAUGGACUUAAAUGUAGUGAUCCAUGGGCAGCCCAUGGGUCUCUUUCCAUUGAUAUUAAUUACUUAUUGAAAUAUGAAAUGGUUAUUUAAACAUAUUUGGUGUAUUAUACUGUAUAGUGAUAUAAAUUUCUAUCAAAAAAUAUGUAUAGGUAAUAGAUUUGGUCCAGUUAUUACAAGAAAUUGUAUGAAAAAUUACUAGAUAUUUAGGCAAUCAUUGUGAGUGCGAAAAGGUCAACUGCAAUAGCACACACUAUAUACCAUUCUUAAAUGGCUCAUAGAAACUUCUAGUAUUGUGAGUUUGAAUGCUCAAUAUGGUAAUUUGGGAAUGCUUAAUCAUUUAAGGUCAAUAGUUUAUCUCUGUUGACUGUAUCUCUUAAAAUUCAUUUCUAGAAGGGAGGGGGUAGGGUUACAAAUUCUGACAUAGUUUCAGAUUAAACCUCAUUUGGUAUAUUUUUUUCUAUUCAAUAUUUUAGAUACUAGUUGACUUAUUGUAAAAAUGAAAUAAAAUCAGAAAUUUUAUGAGCAGAAUUUUGUUGUUGUCAGAAAAUGUAUGCCUGAUAGUAUUUGAGAAACGCCAUAUUUAGGGUAAAUUUGGCCAAUUGCCAAGUCGAAUCAUGCCAAUGUUUUCCUUAGAUGCAUUUUGAAUUUCUAAUCCAUGUUGAUUUUUUAUCUGUUUGUGUUUAAUUUACAUAACUAUAUAUGACAAACAAUAUUUCUGGUGUCAAUAAAAUUUUUAUUGGC